GACGAACCGUGCGAACGUUAUUCGGAAUCAUUGGGCUUAAAGCGCGUGUAGGCGGGUUCGUGCGUCUGGCGCUGAAAUCCCCCGGCUCAACCGGGGAAGGGGCGCGGAUACGACGAGUCUGGAGGGGCAUAGGGGGACCUGGAACUUCCGGUGGAGCGGUGAAAUGCGUUGAGAUCGGAAGGAACGCCCGUGGCGAAAGCGAGGUCCUGGAUGCUUACUGACGCUGAGACGCGAAAGCCAGGGGAGCGAACGGG
rnacentral:rRNA from 1 species